rnacentral:rRNA from 1 species
AGAGUUUGAUCCUGGCUCAGGACGAACGCUGGCGGCGUGCUUAACACAUGCAAGUCGAACGGAAAGGUCUCUUCGGAGAUACUCGAGUGGCGAACGGGUGAGUAACACGUGGGCAAUCUGCCCUGCACUUCGGGAUAAGCCUGGGAAACUGGGUCUAAUACCGGAUAUGACCACGAGGCGCAUGCCUUGCGGUGGAAAGCUUUUGCGGUGUGGGAUGGGCCCGCGGCCUAUCAGCUUGUUGGUGGGGUGACGGCCUACCAAGGCGACGACGGGUAGCCGGCCUGAGAGGGUGUCCGGCCACACUGGGACUGAGAUACGGCCCAGACUCCUACGGGAGGCAGCAGUGGGGAAUAUUGCACAAUGGGCGCAAGCCUGAUGCAGCGACGCCGCGUGGGGGAUGACGGCCUUCGGGUUGUAAACCUCUUUCAGCAGGGACGAAGCGCAAGUGACGGUACCUGCAGAAGAAGCACCGGCCAACUACGUGCCAGCAGCCGCGGUAAUACGUAGGGUGCGAGCGUUGUCCGGAAUUACUGGGCGUAAAGAGCUCGUAGGUGGUUUGUCGCGUUGUUCGUGAAAACCGGGGGCUUAACCCUCGGCGUGCGGGCGAUACGGGCAGACUGGAGUACUGCAGGGGAGACUGGAAUUCCUGGUGUAGCGGUGGAAUGCGCAGAUAUCAGGAGGAACACCGGUGGCGAAGGCGGGUCUCUGGGCAGUAACUGACGCUGAGGAGCGAAAGCGUGGGGAGCGAACAGGAUUAGAUACCCUAGUAGUCC